AACUUCGAUGUCAAUUUUUUAAUUGGCAGUGUGCGUCAAUACAGGGACAAUGUGAGGAACUCGCAUGGCUGCAGUUUUUGAGACCCCAAGAUGCAGGAACCAGCAGACGAUGAACAGAAGGAACUUCCUGAUGUUGCCUGACAGCACGACAUCAGCUGACAACUACUGGGGACGCCUCCCAGGAACGAGUGGAGGACGGGGACUGCUCCAACUGUCCUAGCGCUGGCUGACGGAGGUGUGUCCGUGUGUCCUGCCACCCAAACCGCCAAAGUGUAUGAUCACCAAUUAGACGACUCAUAAUAGGAGCCUUUUGACUCUUAUAUAUGGUGGGACUCAAGGUAUGGCCGCUCAUGUGAACUAUCCUUACAAC